GGGGGUGUAGUUCAGUGGUAGAGCAUCUGCUUUGCAUGCAGAAUGUCCCAGGUUCGAUCCUGGGCAUCACCA